ensembl:lncRNA
AAGAAACUGAAUUACAAAUGUAAACCACGGAAAAUAUUCACAACAUAUUUAGUAUGAAUACAACUUACAACUUUCAAAAGAUUUUCAUUGGGGUUCUUCAUAAGAAUUGUUGCAGUAUAGAAAGAACAAGUUUUGGUUUCUGAUGGAAGAUUAAUCCAUAUGAAAAACAUCUCAGUUGUAUUCAGACAGACCACACAGAUCAUUUCCUAAACUUUUUAAGGUAAUAAGGCUAUUUUCUGUCAUAAAAUUUCAUGUGUGAUAUAUUUUCUUUCUUUAUUUGUAACAAAUAAGAAACUUCUUUGAUUUAACUAAGUGUUGAAGCCUGGGAGCUUUAGGGGUGAAAAUGUGUCAGGGUGAUAAGACGGGGAAGUACUUUUAUGUCACAAAGGAGAUUGUUGCCUCACUGAUUGGUUCAGUUUGUCCAUUUCCCAUCAAAACCCUGUGAUAAGAUUUGCUGACCAAUUUAUCAGAGGUGGGGCUCCAAACAUGGAAACGAUAAACGUUUGGAGUCGAUCCUCAGGAGUGUUUCAAAGGACUUUUACCCACCAUGAGAUGAUUAUGUAGAAUUUUGUGUUGUAGUUAUAACAGGAAUGAUUUUGCUUUGACACCAGGAGCAGACACAAGUUCAUGUGAGGUUUGUGUCAGGAAAGAAAAACCAGAAUAAAAUCCUAAUAAAGAAAGAAGCCUGCAUCUAACACAACAGCCUCUCUGCACACACUCAGGCUGAUACUAAGAACACAAAACUGAUUAUAUGUCAGCAGCGCCUGAAUUUUAAGCAAGCAUGAAAUUAGGCAAGAGGCAAGUGUAAUCAACUAUUACAAAUAAAAUAUCAAAUAUAAACAUUUAUAACAAAGAACCUUCAUAUGGUGUGUUUCUAAAUAUGCCUUAAGCAAAUUAUUCAUUAGAAUGUGGCUUUAAACCCUGAUAGCAUGUUGAUGGAAGACUGAGAUGAGGCUCAUCACUGCUGAAAACGUGCACCGAAAGAGCUGAAAAGAGUUUGACAAAAACAUAUCGACGUAAACAAAACAUCUUGAGGGUUAUAUAUCAAACAAAUCUUGGUGCUAAGAAGUCUCAAUAGGAGCACCUAAAUUAAUUAGAUACUUAUCUUGGAACUUUAGAGUAAAAUCUGCAUAAAAACUUUUUAAAAAUCUGCUGUUUUUCAUAAUUAAAG